rnacentral:rRNA from 1 species
AGAGUUUGAUCCUGGCUCAGGAUGAACGCUAGCGGCAGGCUUAACACAUGCAAGUCGAGGGGUAACAGAGUAGCUUGCUACUGCUGACGACCGGCGCACGGGUGCGUAACGCGUAUACAAUCUACCUUAUACUGGGGUAUAGCCUUUAGAAAUGAAGAUUAACCCCCCAUAGUCUCUAAGAGUGGCAUCACAUUUAGAGUAAAGGUUACGGUAUAAGAUGAGUAUGCGUUCUAUUAGUUUGUUGGUGAGGUAACGGCUUACCAAGACUACGAUAGAUAGGGGCCCUGGGAGGGGGAUCCCCCACACUGGUACUGAGACACGGACCAGACUCCUACGGGAGGCAGCAGUGAGGAAUAUUGGACAAUGGAGGCAACUCUGAUCCAGCCAUGCCGCGUGUAGGAUGACUGCCCUAUGGGUUGUAAACUACUUUUAUACAGGAAGAAACACCUCUACGUGUAGAGGCUUGACGGUACUGUAAGAAUAAGGAUCGGCUAACUCCGUGCCAGCAGCCGCGGUAAUACGGAGGAUCCAAGCGUUAUCCGGAAUCAUUGGGUUUAAAGGGUCCGUAGGUGGAUAAUUAAGUCAGAGGUGAAAUCUUGCAGCUCAACUGUAAAAUUGCCUUUGAAACUGGUUGUCUUGAGUUAUUAUGAAGUAGUUAGAAUAUGUAGUGUAGCGGUGAAAAUGCAUAGAUAUUACAUAGAAUACCAAUUGCGAAGGCAGAUUACUAAUAAUCAACUGACACUGAUGGACGAAAGCGUGGGUAGCGAACAGGAUUAGAUACCCUGGUAGUCCACGCCGUAAACGAUGGUUACUAGCUGUUUGGACUUCGGUCUGAGUGGCUAAGCGAAAGUGAUAAGUAACCCACCUGGGGGAGUACGUUCGCAAGAAUGAAACUCAAAGGAAUUGACGGGGGCCCGCACAAGCGGUGGAGCAUGUGGUUUAAUUCGAUGAUACGCGAGGAACCUUACCAGGGCUUAAAUGUAAGUUGCAUUAGUUAGAGAUAGCUAUUUCUUCGGACCACUUACAAGGUGCUGCAUGGUUGUCGUCAGCUCGUGCCGUGAGGUGUCAGGUUAAGUCCUAUAACGAGCGCAACCCCUGUUGUUAGUUGCCAGCGAGUCAUGUCGGGAACUCUAACAAGACUGCCAGUGCAAACUGUGAGGAAGGUGGGGAUGACGUCAAAUCAUCACGGCCCUUACGUCCUGGGCUACACACGUGCUACAAUGGUAGGGACAGAGAGCAGCCACUGGGCGACCAGGAGCGAAUCUAUAAACCCUAUCACAGUUCGGAUCGGAGUCUGCAACUCGACUCCGUGAAGCUGGAAUCGCUAGUAAUCGGAUAUCAGCCAUGAUCCGGUGAAUACGUUCCCGGGCCUUGUACACACCGCCCGUCAAGCCAUGGAAGUUGGAAGUGCCUGAAGUCCGUCACCGCAAGGAGCGGCCUAGGGUAAAGUCGAUAACUAGGGCUAAGUCGUAACAAGGUA